rnacentral:rRNA from 1 species
AUUGAACGCUGGCGGCAUGCCUUACACAUGCAAGUCGAACGGCAGCACGGGUGCUUGCACCUGGUGGCGAGUGGCGAACGGGUGAGUAAUACAUCGGAACGUACCUUAUCGUGGGGGAUAACGCAGCGAAAGCUGUGCUAAUACCGCAUACGCCCUGAGGGGGAAAGCGGGGGAUCGCAAGACCUCGCGCGAUUAGAGCGGCCGAUGCCUGAUUAGCUAGUUGGUGGGGUAAAAGCCCACCAAGGCGACGAUGAGUAGCUGGUCUGAGAGGACGAUAAGCCACACUGGGACUGAGACACGGCCCAGACUCCUACGGGAGGCAGCAGUGGGGAAUUUUGGACAAUGGGGGCAACCCUGAUCCAGCAAUGCCGCGUGAGUGAAGAAGGCCUUCGGGUUGUAAAGCUCUUUUGUCAGGGAAGAAACACCGGCUCUAACACAGUCCGGGAAUGACGGUACCUGAAGAAUAAGCACCGGCUAACUACGUGCCAGCAGCCGCCGCGG